GCCUGUGUGGUGUAGAGGUUUGAGCACUGGGCUAUGAUCCUGGAGACUAGGGUUUAAAUCCCGGCUGAGCCA